CAUCUCUUAGUCUCAUUUCGACAACAAAAAAAAUAUCUUGUUGUUUUGGAAAAGGAACAAAGUUCCCUCUACCAAAUUAUGGGGGGUGGCAUCUGCCCUCUGCUUUCUGUUUACUUGUUCUGUAUAUCUUGUUUUCUUUCUUGUAUGUGUUCAAUAAAAAAAUAUUUAAGCAACAAAACAUUCAUCACUUUCUUUUGAAAUGACUGAAAUGACCAGAUAUUUUAGACACUACAUGAUAAAGGUAAUUACAUAAGACAUUACGCAGGGCGGCAGGUAGCCUAGUGGUCAGAGCGACAGGUUAGCCUAGUGGUCAGAGCGGCAGGUUAGCCUAGUGGUCAGAGCGGCAGGUUAGCCUAGUGGUCAGAGCGGCAGGUUAGCCUAGUGGUCAGAGCGGCAGGUUAGCCUAGUGGUCAGAGCGGCAGGUUAGCCUAGUGGUCAGAGCGACAGGUUAGCCUAGUGGUCAGAGCGGCAGGUUAGCCUAGUGGUCAGAGCGGCAGGUUAGCCUAGUGGUCAGAGCGGCAGGUUAGCCUAGUGGUCAGAGCGGCAGGUUAGCCUAGUGGUCAGAGCGGCAGGUUAGCCUAGUGGUCAGAGCGACAGGUUAGCCUAGUGGUCAGAGCGGCAGGUUAGCCUAGUGGUCAGAGCGGCAGGUUAGCCUAGUGGUCAGAGCGACAGGUUAGCCUAGUGGUCAGAGCGGCAGGUUAGCCUAGUGGUCAGAGCGACAGGUUAGCCUAGUGGUCAGAGCGGCAGGUUAGCCUAGUGGUCAGAGCGGCAGGUUAGCCUAGUGGUCAGAGCGGCAGGUUAGCCUAGUGGUCAGAGCGGCGGGUUAGCCUAGUGGUCAGAGCGGCGGGUUAGCCUAGUGGUCAGAGCGGCAGGUUAGCCUAGUGGUCAGAGCGGCGGGUUAGCCUAGUGGUCAGAGCGGCGGGUUAGCCUACAGAGCGGCGGGUUAGCCUAGUGGUCAGAGCGGCAGGUUAGCCUAGUGGUCAGAGCGGCAGGUUAGCCUAGUGGUCAGAGCGGCAGGUUAGCCUAGUGGUCAGAGCGGCGGGUUAGCCUAGUGGUCAGAGCGGCGGGUUAGCCUAGUGGUCAGAGCGGCGGGGUAGCCUAGUGGUCAGAGCGGCGGGGUAGCCUAGUGGUCAGAGCGGCAGGUAGCCUAGUGGUCAGAGCGGCAGGUAGCCUAGUGGUCAGAGCGGCGGGUUAGCCUAGUGGUCAGAGCGGCGGGGUAGCCUAGC